GACGAACGCUGGCGGCGUGCUUAACACAUGCAAGUCGAACGGAAAGGCCCUGCUUUUGUGGGGUGCUCGAGUGGCGAACGGGUGAGUAACACGUGAGUAACCUGCCCUUGACUUUGGGAUAACUUCAGGAAACUGGGGCUAAUACCGGAUAGGAGCUCCUGCUGCAUGGUGGGGGUUGGAAAGUUUCGGCGGUUGGGGAUGGACUCGCGGCUUAUCAGCUUGUUGGUGGGGUAGUGGCUUACCAAGGCUUUGACGGGUAGCCGGCCUGAGAGGGUGACCGGCCACAUUGGGACUGAGAUGCGGACCAGACUCCUACGGGAGGCAGCAGUGGGGAAUAUUGCACAAUGGGCGGAAGCCUGAUGCAGCAACGCCGCGUGCGGGAUGACGGCCUUCGGGUUGUAAACCGCUUUCGCCUGUGACGAAGCGUGAGUGACGGUAAUGGGUAAAGAAGCACCGGCUAACUACGUG
rnacentral:rRNA from 1 species